rnacentral:rRNA from 1 species
CGCACGGGUGCGUAACGCGUGGGAAUCUGCCCUCAGGUUCGGAAUAACAGUUGGAAACGACUGCUAAUACCGGAUGAUGACGUAAGUCCAAAGAUUUAUCGCCUGAGGAUGAGCCCGCGUAGGAUUAGCUAGUUGGUGUGGUAAAGGCGCACCAAGGCGACGAUCCUUAGCUGGUCUGAGAGGAUGAUCAGCCACACUGGGACUGAGACACGGCCCAG